rnacentral:lncRNA from 1 species
CCCUUUUCCGUAGUAAUUCAUAGCAAAAAGCUGGUUCUUGGAAGACCAUUGUUCAGGAUGAUGAUGAUGAUAUUGAUGCUGAUGAGUCUGUUUAUACAGUGAUCAUAUGUUUCGAUACCAAGACUGAUGCUGCGUGAAAUCUGGUUACCUCUGUCGCUGGAUGUUCAUAAAGAUGAUUUAAAUAGGUAUCUCCAGGUAUGUUAGUUGUGUUGUUUCAAAUACGAUUCUAUUCCUCCAUCGAAUCAACUCAUAUUUAACUUUUCUCAAGUUUGUUUGUG